UGGGAUUAUGGAUUGAAACUCCACCCCUGUGAACAUAACCUCUGUCGUUGCUUCGGCGGGCACGCCCGCCGGAGGUUCAAAACUCUUAUUUUUUCCAGUAUCUCUGAGCCUGAAAGACAAAUAAUCAAAACUUUCAACAACGGAUCUCUUGGUUCUGGCAUCGAUGAAGAACGCAGCGAAAUGCGAUAAGUAAUGUGAAUUGCAGAAUUCAGUGAAUCAUCGAAUCUUUGAACGCACAUUGCGCCCGCCGGUAUUCCGGCGGGCAUGCCUGUUCGAGCGUCAUUUCAACCCUCAAGCCUCGGCUUGGUGUUGGGGCGCCCGGGCCCUCCGCGGCCCGGGGCCCCCAAGUUCAUCGGCGGGCUCGUCGGUACACUGAGCGCAAUAAAACGCGGUAAAACGCGAACCUCGUUCGGAUCGUCCCGGCGUGCUCCAACCGCUAAACCCCCAAUUUUUUAAAGGUUGACCUCGGAUCAGGUAGGAAUACCCGCUGAUCUUAAUCUUAUCCGGAGGAAGAAGAAAUGAG
rnacentral:rRNA from 1 species